ACAAAGUGUAGCUUAAAUAAAGCACUUCGCUUACACCGAAUAAAUACCUGUUAAACCCAAGUCACUUUGA
rnacentral:tRNA from 1 species